rnacentral:rRNA from 1 species
UACGAAGGGGGCUAGCGUUGCUCGGAAUCACUGGGCGUAAAGGGUGCGUAGGCGGGUCUUUUAAGUCAGGGGUGAAAUCCUGGAGCUCAACUCCAGAACUGCCUUUGAUACUGAAGAUCUUGAGUUCGGGAGAGGUGAGUGGAACUGCGAGUGUAGAGGUGAAAUUCGUAGAUAUUCGCAAGAACACCAGUGGCGAAGGCGGCUCACUGGCCCGAUACUGACGCUGAUGCACGAAAGCGUGGGGGAGCAAACAGG